rnacentral:rRNA from 1 species
UACGUAGGGUGCAAGCGUUAAUCAGAGUUACUGGGCGUAAAGAGUGCGUAGGCGGCUAUGUAAGACAGAUGUGAAAUCCCUGGGCUUAACCUAGGAACUGCAUUUGUGACUGCAUGGCUAGAGUGUGGUAGAGGGAGAUGGAAUUCCGCAUGUAGCAGUGAAAUGCGUAGAUAUGCGGAGGAACACCAAUGGCGAAGGCAAUCUCCUGGACCUGCACUGACGCUCAUGCACGAAAGCGUGGGGAGCAAACAGG